rnacentral:rRNA from 1 species
UACGAAGGGGGCUAGCGUUGCUCGGAAUCACUGGGCGUAAAGGGUGCGUAGGCGGGUCUUUUAGUCCGGGGUGAAAUCCUGGAGCUCAACUCCAGAACUGCCUUUGAUACUGAAGAUCUUGAGUUCGGGAGAGGUGAGUGGAACUGCGAGUGUAGAGGUGAAAUUCGUAGAUAUUCGCAAGAACACCAGUGGCGAAGGCGGCUCACUGGCCCGAUACUGACGCUGAUGCACGAAAGCGUGGGGAGCAAACAGG